UACGUAGGCAGCAAGCGUUGUUCGGAAUUACUGGGCGUAAAGAGUGUGUAGGCGGUGCUCUAAGUUCGGUGUGAAAUCUCCCGGCUCAACUGGGAGGGUGCGCCGAAAACUGGAGUGCUGGAGCGCGGGAGAGGAAAGCGGAAUUCCUGGUGUAGCGGUGAAAUGCGCAGAUAUCAGGAGGAACACCGAUGGCGAAGGCAGGUCUCUGGGCAUUAACUGACGCUGAGGAGCGAAAGCAUGGGGAGCGAACAGG
rnacentral:rRNA from 1 species